UGGGUUGCUAGACUAAGGUAUGUUUGAUGUUGUCCAUGAGAUUCAUGCAUGUUUUUAGUUGUUAGUUUGAGUUCUACCUAGCCCAUGGUUUAAAUCUUUGUUAUGAGAUGGAGAUGAUAUUCGGCCAUGGGUGUUGUCUUCUUGGUUGAUGUUUGAUGUUGUGGUGAUGAGGCAUGAAGAUGAGUCAAGUUUCGGCUAAGGUGGAUUUGUGUUGAUGUCAUUUGCAUGCUAAGUGUGAAACUUUGUAAUGAUACAUGUGAUGGUGAUUGAUGACUCUUGGAUUUUCUUUUUGGCAUUUUUGAGUUAGACAUUAAGUUCCUUGUGUAACCCAUGACCAAAAUUGAAUGGUAUGGUGUCUUGAUGCAUUCGGCCAUGGUAGAAAG
rnacentral:lncRNA from 1 species